AGACACACGGCGGGUGCUAACGUCCGUCGUGAAGAGGGAAACAACCCAGACCGCCAGCUAAGGUCCCAAAGUCAUGGUUAAGUGGGAAACGAUGUGGGAAGGCCCAGACAGCCAGGAUGUUGGCUUAGAAGCAGCCAUCAUUUAAAGAAAGCGUAAUAGCUCACUGGUCGAGUCGGCCUGCGCGGAAGAUGUAACGGGGCUAAACCAUGCACCGAAGCUGCGGCAGCGACGCUGAUGCGUUGUUGGGUAGGGGAGCGUUCUGUAAGCCUGCGAAGGUGGCCUGUGAGGGUUGCUGGAGGUAUCAGAAGUGCGAAUGCUGACAUAAGUAACGAUAAAGCGGGUGAAAAGCCCGCUCGCCGGAAGACCAAGGGUUCCUGUCCAACGUUAAUCGGGGCAGGGUGAGUCGACCCCUAAGGCGAGGCCGAAAGGCGUAGUCGAUGGGAAACGGGUUAAUAUUCCCGUACUUGGUGUUACUGCGAAGGGGGGACGGAGAAGGCUAUGUUGGCCGGGCGACGGUU
rnacentral:rRNA from 1 species